AGAGAGAGAGAGGCAGAGGGAGAAGCAGGCUCCCAAGGAGCAGGGAGCCCGAUGUGGGACUCGAUCCCAGGACCCUGAGACCACGACCUGAGCCGAAGGCAGACGCUUAACGACCGAGCCACCCAGGCGCCCGAGCACGGGACUCUUGAUCUCGGAGUCAUUAUGCACGUAUGUAUGUAUGUAUUUGACAGAAUGAGAGAGCAGUCUCCUGAGAUGAGGAAUGAGAGAGGCAGAGGGAGAAGCAGGCUCCCCGCCCAGCAGGGAGCCCGACGCGGGGCUCGGUUCCAGGACCCCGGGAUCAUGACCUGAGCCGAAGGCAGACGCUUAACCGACCGAGCCACCCAGGCGCCCCAGCCUCAGACUUUUUUUAAGAUUAAAAAACAAAAAACAAAAAAACAAAAAACAACUUGAAUGAAUCUAAAGUUGUGAAAAUUAUACUGGUGCUACCCAAUACAGCAGCUCCUACCGCAUGUGACUACUUAAAUUUUAAUUAAAAUAAAUUGAAGAAAAGUCCAGUUCCUCACUCAUACCAGCCACCUUUCCAGUGCUUCGUACUUACCUGCAGCUAACAGCCAUGGCAGUGAAAAUGCAGAGAAAGAACAUUUCUCUCAUGGAAAGUUCUAUCGGACAGAAGGUAUGUCACAGACAUACUUGUGACCAUUUUGCUUCUUCGGGAUACGAAGAUCUUUGACAUAUUAGAGUGUGUGACUUUAGCUUUAACCACCCCUGGCCCCCCCUCCCAUCAAACUAAGACAAAAACACUAUUCUCUUGAAGUGGGGGGAAAGGGUAUCACAAGUUUGCACAUGAUUUUCUGAGAGCUUUGCUCGACAAGAAGGGAUUGUCUUAGUCUCUCACUUUGUAUCGUGUAUUCAUGAGUGUAUUAGGGUUCUGGAAAGAAAAGGAAGCAAUAGUGUACAGAAGGCAUAAAAGAGAUUGAUGAUGGGCGUGGGCUUCUGCCAUUUUGGAGGCUGACACGAGCCAUGAUACGCUCUUUGCAAGCUGGAGAAGCAGAAGAGCAGGUGACAGGACACCCCAAGACCAGAAGCAGGAGCUCCGGCAACUGAGGACAAGAGAAGAUGCAUGUCCCAGCUCAAGAAGAGGGAAUCUGCCCUUCCGCUGCCUUUUUGUUUUAUUCAGGCCCACGGCUGCCUGCCCACAUUGGUUUGGGCAGAUCUUUAUGAGUCUACCGAUUCAAAUGCUAAUCUCUCAGAAACACCCUCACCGGACACACCGGAAAUAAUGUCCUAUCAGCAGUCUGGGCAUCCUUAGCCCGGCCAAGUCGACACGUAAAAUUUAACCAUCACGGGGAAGCCCUUCACGACCCCAAGAUCAAGAGUCGCAUGCUCUACUGAUUGAGCCGGCCAGGCGUCCUUCUCUCUCUCUGGAAGGAAGAUGUGAAAGUUUAGCACAGUGCCAGGUACAUGCAAGGUCUGGGACACAGAGUGGCAUCCUCUCUUCAUCUUUAUAGGAUUCUGUAGAUUUAAAAAUAUACUUUAAAAUGUAGAGCCGUUGGGCCCUCUCAGUUAAACUCUAAGCAUUUUGUGGCCCAGUGGCAACAAGUUUUAAAGUCUCUUUCAACCCUGCACCUUUUGAAAACUGUCAGCUUCCGUGAGACUUGUCACCCCAGCCGGUGAUGUUAGGGAAGGAGGGUGCACCGUGGUGUAGUACACUCCAAAGGAAAAACACGCACAGGUUGAAAGCCUGACCUUGGCUCUGGUCACGGGAGUUGAUGAUUCAUGAGAACAUCCUGUAUGGCCCCCGUUCUAGAGCCACUUGGGGACUCAAACCGUGAGAGAGGACAGCGUGAGGAAUCCAGGCAGGUCUUGGAGGCUGUUGUCCCCCUAGACCUGAGGGUUUUACCAAGGAAUCUUUGAGCUCCUUCCAGUUUCCAGCUUGGUCUCCCCCUUGUCGCCUCCAAAAAUAGAAUUUGGAACUUAUUCCCCAUGUGACCUAAUGCGUGUCACACUCGUGGGCAGGAAGUGAAUGCUUUCCUGCCAGGCCCGAGCCGUCCCCAGGAGAUGGUCUGGGAAGGAAUGCCUUCUCUGUCCUACUUCACGACAGAAUGUCAGCACGCUUAUUGUAAGGCUACUUUCUUCAGUCCGAAAACACGGCAUGCUCUUCAAAACGGCAGCAAAAGAGGUCAGAUUGGCUAGAUUCGGAUGAUCCUGGGUGUUUACGCUUCCUAAAGUAUGGUCAGCUAUUAGUAAUCAUGCCCUCCAUCCUCUUGACCCCUGUUCUGGGCUCUGUGCGGCUCAUAAAAAUGGUGAGGUCGGCUCAUUAGGGAAACACUCACAUCCUCUAGACGAUUAGAGCAGACAACAGAAUUUGGCUCGUUGACCCAACGUACGGCUGACUGAAGCAGGCAGGCCAUGGCUUGAAAUGUUUGGCAAUAGUAAUUUGGGGUUUCCGGGAUUUGCAGUAAGAAUCGGACGUCCUCGGGGUGGCUCAGUCGUUAGGCGUCUGCCUUCGGCUCGGGUCAUGAUCUCAGGGUCCUGGGAUCGAGCCCCGCAUCGGGCUCCCUGCUCAGCGGGAAGCCUGCUUCUCCCUCUCCCCCUCCCCCUGCUUGUGUUCCCUCUCUCGCUGUGUCUCUCUCUAUCAAAUAAAUAAAUAAAAUCUUAAAAAAAAAAAAAAAAGAA